GUUAGGAAUAUUGGACAAUGGGCGCAAGCCUGAUCCAGCCAUGCCGCGUGAGUGAUGAAGGCCUUCGGGUUGUAAAGCUCUUUAGUCCACGAAUAUAAUGACUGUAGUGGAAGAAUAAGCCCCGGCUAACUUCGUGCCAGCAGCCGCGGUAAUACGAAGGGGGCGAGCGUUAUUCGGAAUCACUGGGCGUAAAGCGUGCGUAGGCUGUUUUGUAAGUCAGAAGUGAAAGCCCAGGGCUUAACCCUGGAAUUGCUUUUGAAACUACAAGACUCGAAUUCGGGAGAGGAUAGCGGAAUUGUCAGUGUAGCAGUGAAAUGCGUAGAUAUUGACAGGAACACCAGUGGCGCAAGCGGCUAUCUGAACCGAUAUUGACGCUGAGGCACGAAAGCGUGGGGAGCAAACAGGAUUAGAUACCCGGGUAGUCC
rnacentral:rRNA from 1 species